rnacentral:rRNA from 1 species
AUAACCUCAUCGAUUGACGUUACCCGCAGAAGAAGCACCGGCUAACUCCGUGCCAGCAGCCGCGGUAAUACGGAGGGUGCAAGCGUUAAUCGGAAUUACUGGGCGUAAAGCGCACGCAGGCGGUCUGUCAAGUCGGAUGUGAAAUCCCCGGGCUUAACCUGGGAACUGCAUUCGAAACUGGCAGGCUAGAGUCUUGUAGAGGGGGGUAGAAUUCCAGGUGUAGCGGUGAAAUGCGUAGAGAUCUGGAGGAAUACCGGUGGCGAAGGCGGCCCCCUGGACAAAGACUGACGCUCAGGUGCGAAAGCGUGG